AUGCACAGGUUUGGGGUGUGGCUCCACGCACAGGUUUGGGUGUGGAUCCAUGCACAGGUUUGGGUGUGGAUCCAUGCACAGGUUUGGGGUGUGGCUCCACGCACAGGUUUGGGUGUGGAUCCAUGCACAGGUUUGGGGUGUGGCUCCACGCACAGGUUUGGGUGUGGAUCCAUGCACAGGUUUGGGGUGUGGCUCCACGCACAGGUUUGGGUGUGGAUCCAUGCACAGGUUUGGGGUGUGGCUCCACGCACAGGUUUGGGUGUGGAUCCAUGCACAGGUUUGGGGUGUGGCUCCACGCACAGGUUUGGGUGUGGAUCCAUGCACAGGUUUGGGGUGUGGAUCCAUGCACAGGUGGAUCCAUGCACAGGUUUGGGGUGUGGAUCCAUGCACAGGUGGAUCCAUGCACAGGUUUGGGUGUGGAUCCAUGCACAGGUGGAUCCAUGCACAGGUUUGGGUGUGGAUCCAUGCACAGGUGGAUCCAUGCACAGGUUUGGGUGUGGAUCCAUGCACAGGUGGAUCCAUGCACAGGUUUGGGUGUGGAUCCAUGCACAGGUGGAUCCAUGCACAGGUUUGGGUGUGGAUCCAUGCACAGGUGGAUCCAUGCACAGGUUUGGGUGUGGAUCCAUGCACAGGUGGAUCCAUGCACAGGUUUGGGUGUGGAUCCAUGCACAGGUGGAUCCAUGCACAGGUUUGGGUGUGGAUCCAUGCACAGGUGGAUCCAUGCACAGGUCCGGGUGUGCCCACCCCCUGCCUGUGUGACAAAUGCAGCGCUCACCUUGCCAUGCUGUGACAACUAAAAGGUGAUAAUGAUGAGCAGCAGCGAGCGAGCGAGCAUGAGAGGCAGCGAGGAAACAACGAAAGCAGUUUUCCACAGGAGCACCAAACCGCGUCCCUGUGCGCCCCGAGCCCGCAUAAAUCGGCGGGUGAGUGGCAGAGCUGUCACCGGGGCUGACAGGAGCCAGCCCAGCAGCAUUACACCCGGCUCAGGUAUCAAUUACCAUUGCUAAUUCCGAAACGGAGCCCAGCUCGUGCUGACAGGGGACAGCGAAUUAAACCCUCACAAGUUACAGCAGCGAGUGCCUCCUCUGCUUGUUGUCGCCAGGAAUGCCGCGUUUGAAAUGGCCAGAAAUGCUGGGACGUAAACGUCGUAAUGCUGCGAGACAACGGCGGAAAUCAAAAACAUCAACUUUGUCUGGCCUGGAUGUGUUUGUGAAAGGAAAGUGAGGGUGUGAGGCCACCCCACAUCCCAUGCCGGUGCUGGGAUGGCACCGCUGGGCUGCUGUGCCACAUCUGGCGCUGCUGCAGCUCCCCGGGAAGGAGCGGGGCUCGGCUGCAGCCCAGGCUGCUCUCCUCUCUUCUUCUGGGGAGGAGAUGACUAAUGGGGUCAGGGAUCCUCUGCGCGCUAUUUUUAGGUAUUUUCUGGAUUCCGACUCUGCAGAGCCCCCAGCUCCCUGCCCUGCCUGCACGUCUGAGUGGGAUGAGAUGCCACGAAAGUGCCGGAGCCGCUGAUUUAUUGAUUUCCCGACAAAACAAAUCACGGCUCCGCCCUUCCCUGCCAUCGCUUUCCCCCCUCUCCAUCCCCACCGGAGCUGCUGCUCUGCCCUGGGCUGGAGGGGAGCAGCUCCUGCCCUUCCCACCCACCCUGGGACAGGCUUUGGGCUGAUGGGCACAGAGGGGACACGGGCUGCACGUGCCCCCAGCAUUUUGGGGCCGGGUGGUUGUGUCUUGGGGCGGGAAUAAGAGCCCUGAGCGGUGAGAAGUUUAAGGUGAGUUCUUCCUCCAAAAAGAGUCUUUUUUAACUCAAAAGUGAAGCUUCACCUGAAGAGAAACUGGAACAAGUGGCUCUUGAAGGUGUGAAUGCGUCAGAGCAGGGAUGAAAGGGGAUCAUAAAUAAACCUGCACCCAUGACAGGAGAGAACCAGAGCAGGGACAGGAGAGAACCAGAGCAGGGACAGGAGAGAACCAGAGCAGGGACAGGAGAGAACCAGAGCAGGGACAGGAGAGAACCAGAGCAGGGACAGGAGAGAACCAGAGCAGGGACAGGAGAGAACCAGAGCAGGGACAGGAGAGAACCAGAGCAGGGACAGGAGAGAACCAGAGCAGGGACAGGAGAGAACCAGAGCAGGGACAGGAGAGAACCAGAGCAGGGACAGGAGAGAACCAGAGCAGGGACAGGAGAGAACCAGAGCAGAGACAGGAGAGAACCAGAGAGAGGUCCCAGAUUUCAGCAGGAGGGGGAGGACAACUGGAAAAGAGCAGGCUGGGGGAGAGCAGCACCCAAACACAGACUCUUGGCCGUCAGCAGCAGCGCUGGCAGCGUGUCAGGCCAUGAGGAAUAUUUUCCUUCCCUCUGCUGGGCCAAGUCCCCGGGCAGGCAGCUCGGGAGCGGUGGCACAGUGACACCCAGAGGAGAGGGACAGAGCUCUGCCCGCCACAGGCACCGUGCCAGGGCCACAGGGACACCCCGGGGGUGACAGGGCACCCAGGGGAGGUGACAGGGACACCCAGGGGAGGUGACAGAGACACCCAGGGGGUGACAGGGACAUCCUCACACAGGAGCUCCUCAGGGCUGAGCACGGGCUCAAACCCUCCCUCCCGUGCUCUGUCUUGGUGCUGGAUACGUGCACGUGAAAUAACCAAUUUCUGUUCUAGAAAUAUGGGUUGUGAUACCAAAAACUAACACUAUUUAUUUUCAUGUACUGACCACCCCCACCUCGGGCCCUAUAAAUAAUUAUACGAAGCCAGAGAAGAAUAAUUUGGUGAUGCAGUGUGCCUUUGAGAUGGCUUUUAAUGUUCCUUCCAGCCCAAAGCCAAGAUUCCACGAACAUUCACCCUGCUGCUGCAGCCUCUGCUCCACCUGGCAGCAACCCACACACCUGGAACCAAAACAUCACCAGGGCUUGAAAGAGUUACAGGCCAGCCAGCCCGUGUUUGUUCCUGGAAAAUGCCUUUAAAUUGUGAUUAAAAAUAGGCUAAUGGAGCACAGAUGGGAUGUCAUGGAUCCUGUGAUGGAAAAUGUGUCAGCGUCUCCAAAACAUCCCAGCUCCUGCUCCUGCUCCUGCUCCUGCUCCUGCUCCUGGCUGGGGUGGCCAGAGGGCUGCAGGACUGCAGACAGGUAAGAGCCAGGGGAACGGUGCCUGUGUGGAAAAAAUUACUCAAACAGAAAACUGAGGGACUUGACAUUCAAUUUUUCAUGGACGCUUCCACCAUGGAUCUCACCACCGUGCACACUAAUAUUUUCCACAGCAAUCUGGAAAGCACAAAGGGCUGGACAGUGCAGCCCAGCCCACAGAUGACACAGAGGGAAGUUAAUUGAACCCAGAAUUCCCACUGCACCUCCAAACAGCCAAGGGAGGAGGAGGACGAGGUUGUAGCUGAACAUUCUCUUCAAUGCACCGGUUAUUCAGCCCCUGCAUUUCAGGAGCACAAAGCCCAGGCCCGGACUGCCAGGGUGGGAGAGAGUGAACUGGGAGGGAAGAGGAGCUGCUGGGAUGAUGAGCAGCCUGCGUGAGCCAAGAGCUGGGGGUGCUGCAGCAGGUUUGGGUAGCAAGCGGCAUCAGCGACCAGCCCUGGCUGUAGAGACACCCUCGGGGGCUGCGCCAAUUAAUCUCUAACAGGACAGGCACUGGGAGGUGGUGGGAGCUGGAUCCACGGGCCUGGCUGGGGGUACUUCACACUCCUCAGAUGAAGUCCCAAAAAGCACAGGAGCAGCCUCAGCCCCACAGCAGAGCCCGGCAGGGAAAACCAGCACACGGAGGGGAAAAACGGGCUGAGGAGCUGGUCGUGGGGUAUGCGGAGAUCCUGCCUGGCGCCCAGGAGGGGCCGCGCUGUCUCCCGCAGCUCCCACCAGCACCGCCCCAGCCGCUCCCCUGUUGUCCUCCCCAAGAUGCGAAGCGAAGCAAAGCUUGGCAGAGAGCACCCUCCAGCGGGCUCCGGGAGCUGGACGGGCCCGGGCUGGGCACCCCGCAGCUGCCGAGGAGGGGAGAGCGGCUCCCCGCCGCAGCUGCCCCCCCCCCCCCCCCCCCCCCCCCCCCCCCCCCCCCCCCCCCCCCCUCCCCGCCGCAGCUGGCCAUGAGGAGCCGCGCUGGGCCACCAGCUGGGCUGGGCGCUGCCCUGGCGCCGCAGCUCCUGGAGCAGCGAGAGCAGUUCUGCAAAAGCAGAGAGUUUAUUGGGCUGUUGGACACUGAAGCCCUUGGGGCUGGUCCAGCCAGUGACGCUGCUCUGGAGCUAAAUCCGGGAUGCAGCGCGGGGCGGGAGUUGCUGGAGAGCCGAUGAUCCUCGUUCCAAACCAGAUGUUCAGAGAGAAAACGCAAGGCGCAGGCAAGGGCAGUCCGCAGGACAAACUGGGGAGAGGUCAGGACCUGCUCCAGGGUCUGGGCAGCCCCUGACUCACCCAGAGCCCCACGGAGCCCCCGAGGUGUCCCCCCCGGGCACGCCGUGUCCCCGGAGCAGGGCAGGCAGCGCUGGGACAUGCGCUUGUCACCAGCGUGUGCAGAGCUGGCCCGGCUCCUGCCUCCCACGGGACCCCAGCCCGCCGCUCCCCGAGCAGCCCCCCGACCCGGCCCUGCCCAUUCCGGGGCUCCGGCCCCGCCUGCACUGCCCUGGCUCUGCUCCUCUCUCCCCGGGGCCAUUUCCAGCCCGGCUCCUCCUGCCCAGCGCUCCCAGCCCCACUGCUGAUCCCCCGCGCUGAUCUCUUCCGAUCUGCUGGUCCCCCGCGCUGACUUCACGGAGCCGUUCACUCCUCAUGGGAAGGGCCCUUGUAAUUUUCUCGCGCUAAAUAUUUGACAGGAGACUUCGAGAAAACACGAUCAAUUUAGGGAAAAAAAAAAAAAACCCCCCCCCCCCCCCCCCCCCUUAGGGAAAAAAAAAAAAAAAAAAAGCCAGUUUAAGUUGCUAAGCGACCAGAUUUUUGUCAUUUAUUGAGGUUGUGGCACUACAUGAUGGUUUUAUGAGUCCCUUG
rnacentral:lncRNA from 1 species